UACGUAGGGUGCGAGCGUUGUCCGGAAUUAUUGGGCGUAAAGAGCUUGUAGGCGGUUUGUCGCGUCUGCUGUGAAAUUCCAGGGCUUAACCCUGGGCUUGCAGUGGGUACGGGCAGACUAGAGUGUGGUAGGGGAGACUGGAAUUCCUGGUGUAGCGGUGAAAUGCGCAGAUAUCAGGAGGAACACCGAUGGCGAAGGCAGGUCUCUGGGCCAUUACUGACGCUGAGGAGCGAAAGCGUGGGGAGCGAACAGG
rnacentral:rRNA from 1 species